GGUUUUUAAUUAACAAUUUAAAAAAUUAAAAAUAAAACUAAAAGGACGCGGUAACCUUGACCGUGAUAAUGUAGCAUAAUCACUCGCCAUUUAAUUGAUGGAUAGUAUGAAUGGUUGAACGAAUAUUCCACUGUCUUAAAGAGAAUUAAAAGAAAUUGAAAUAAUAGUUAAGAUGCUAUUUAAAACUGUAAGACGAAAAGACCCUAUAGAGCUUAACUAUAAUCUCUUUACCCAAAUAAAAAAGAAUUUUUAAGUAUAAAGAGAUUGGUAGUUUAGUUGGGGCGACUGUCUUCUACAAUAAACGAAGACAAGCAAAGUUAAUAAAAAAACUUAUUGUAUAAUAAAAUUAUUUAACAAUUAUUAUAGUAGGCUAUAUUGACCCGUUUUUACUAUGAAAUAAGAGAAACGAUCAAUUGAUAAAAGCUACCUUAGGGAUAACAGGAUAAUUUCAUUUUAGAGUCCAUAUCGAAAAUGAAGUUUGUCACCUCUAUGUUGAAUUAA
rnacentral:rRNA from 1 species